GCCCUUUCAAUUUCAAUGAGAAGCGCUUAUAUCAAGCGUGCUGGGCAACCAGCUAUGGCAAUAAAUGGUCAGUGCAAUAAACCUAUCGGACCCGGGGGCGGUACCCGGCGCCUCCACCCAAGCGCAGAACGGCAAAGCCAGAUGGCUUCUGCGUUUCGGCGGGGGCGAAACAGGAUCGACGAGGGCGUAAAGACUGUGCUUUUGCUCGGCAUUGUACCACCGUUAUCGGGCUGUUCUAAUAGUUGCAAACGACAACUAUGCUAUGGACAACGCUGUCGCUGCGUAAUGCAGUGCCAGUAGUCCUUUGAAGCCCUGCUGGAUUAGCACCGGCAGGCGGGGUUCGGAGGCGCCUGGCAACAGAAGCCUCCACU
rnacentral:tmRNA from 1 species